rnacentral:lncRNA from 10 species
CUAAAAUGAUUAUCUGUAAAGCUACAGAAGUUUAAUACUGAGGAUGUAUUACAAUUAUUUUUGAUAUCAGGAUAAAAAUACCUGUUCAUGAAUGAUGGUAUUGAUUUUCUCUUCUGACUUGUCUCCAGUUACAGGUGUAAUAGCCAAUAUUACUUAUAUUAACAACUAGCACCCAUUUUAAAAUUUCUGUAGUGCUGAUAAUUUAUAUGCAAGGAAAUUAAGACAAUGAGUUAUCAAUACUUGGGUUGAAUCAGUGUGAGAAACUAAAAUGCAAAUAGGUAAAAAAAAUAGGUUACUUCACUAAGUUUUCAUAAUGCAUUUGAAAACGUGGUUUCAUAAUGCAAUGACCUGGGGCUACCAACUGUUUGUAAUAGCACAAAUCUAAACAGUAUUAUGGGCAUAUAUUUCAAUAGCUCACAUCCUUCUUGAAAGAAAAUCAUUUUUCAUGGCCAUUAUUCACAUAAAAGUUCAAAUCUCUCCAAUCAGCUUUUAUAUAACAGUUUUAUGGAUUUAUCUUAGGAACAAAAUUAACCAAAAGACCCUGUAGUAGUUUUCCUUCCAGCAUAUCUUCUCUACCUAUUUUAUUAUUCAUUGUAAAACUACUGGGUGAAUAGUAUAUGUUUUUUCAGAUGUUUCUAAUCAGUAGAUAAAUAGGUACACAUAGUGCACAAAAAUCUAAGACAGAGAAGGUGAAUAAAAAAGUGUUAUUUAUGGGCAACCCCCUUUGGGUCCCCUCCCACUGUAUGGGAGCUGUGUUUUCACUCUAGUAAAUCUUGCAACUGCACACUCUCCUGCUCCGUGUUUGUUAUGGCUCGAGCUGAGCUUUCGCUGGCCGUCCACCACUGCUGUUUGCCACUGUUGCAGACCCGCCACUGACUUCCACCCCUCCGGAUCCAGCAGGGUGUCCACUGUGCUCCUGAUCCAGCAAGGCGCCCAUUGCUGCUCCUGAUCGGGCUAAAGGCUCGCCAUUGUUCCUGUACAGCUAAGUGCCUGGGUUCGUCCUAAUCGAGCUGAACACUAGUUGCUGGGUUCCACGGUUCUCUUCUGUGACCCACAGCUUCUAAUAGAGCUAUAACACUCACCUCAUGGCCUAAGGUUCCAUUCCUUGGAAUCCAUGAGGCCAAGAACCCCAGGUCAGAGAACAAAAGGGAUGCCACCAUCUUGGGAGCAGCCCGCCACCGUCUUGGGAACUCUAACAACAAAGACCCACUGGUAACAUUUGGUGGCCUCAUACAGGGAUUCUCUAAAGCAAAUGAAGACCAUCCCUGGGCAAAAUUGCGAAGAAGUGGAAGGAAAGAAGAGAAAGAAGAAGAAAGGAAUAUAGGAUCUUCCUCAGCAUCAGUAAUUUCUUUGGAAAGAAUUGGGGAGAAAGAAG